CGGUGGAUCACUCGGCUCGUGGAUCGAUGAAGGACGCAGCAAACUGCGCGUCGAAUUGUGAACUGCAGGACACAUGAACAUCGACGCUUCGAACGCUCAUUGCAGCCCACGGAUUCUGUUCCCGGGCUACGCCUGGCUGAGGGCCGGC
rnacentral:rRNA from 4 species